rnacentral:lncRNA from 1 species
AAUAGACCUUUCCCCUUAUAACCAAAAUUUUGAUCUAGGCAAGUCUAGACAAAUAUUUCAUCACAGCUUGAAAGAGCAUCACAAAAUUAGUAAUAUUCCAAAGUUUCGUUGCGAAAUGUUGUAAAAUGAGGAAAAUAGAGCCUUGCGAAGUUUGCAAUUUUCAGUCAUUUUGCAUUGCAAACGGGAAAUUGCAGCCCCAACACCCGAAUCGGAUGUCAAUUUCCCGUUUGUAAUACAAAAUGACUGAAAAACGGCAAACUUCGCAAGGCUAUAUUAUCCGCAU